GGAAGUGUGCCCGAGCACCAGGGACUACUUUGAUAGAGUAUGCACAGAAAUAAACCUCUCUCUUCCCA
rnacentral:tRNA from 1 species